rnacentral:lncRNA from 1 species
AUUAAAAAUUCGGAAAAUUUAAAAAAAUCCAAAAAUAUUGUCUUGUUUCCCUUAUUGUUUUGAAUUAGAUUUUUGUUAGUUUCCCGACCCAAUGAUAUAAUUGGAUGAAGAACUUAGUUAACAUGUAUUUUGUGAAAUUCCUAAUUCUCUUGUUAGUUUUGUACAUGUUUGACCAUCUUUGAAAAACUAAAUGCACAUAGCCUUGUUGAUGUGAAACUAAAGCAUGACUUAAAGCUUCAUAUGUGAAUUUAGUGACCAUAUAUAUCCUAUGUGAGUUUUUGAGCCUAUUGAAAGUGUGUGCAUUUUUCAUACACUCCUAUUCUUUCAUGUGUGAUGAACUUAUGUGAGAUACAUCUCUAGAACUUGCGUAACGAUCUUUCGAAAUGUUUGUCAUUGAUUGCAUGAACUUGGAAAUGAUAGAGGCAUUAGGUUUACCACUAUGGCCCAAAUAACCAUGUUUCCCAAAGAAAAAUGAUAUCAUUAGAUUGCCAAUUU